AACAAGGAUUCCCCUAGUAACUGCGAGUGAAGCGGGAAAAGCUCAAAUUUAAAAUCUGGCGGUCUCUGGCCGUCCGAGUUGUAAUCUAGAGAAGUAAUGCCCGUGCUGGACCGUGUAUAAGUCUCCUGGGAUGGGGCGUCAUAGAGGGUGAGAAUCCCGUCUUUGACACGGACUACCAGUGCAUUGUGGUAUGCUCUCAAAGAGUCGAGUUGUUUGGGAAUGCAGCUCAAAAUGGGUGGUAAAUUCCAUCUAAAGCUAAAUAUUGGCGAGAGACCGAUAGCGAACAAGUACCGUGAGGGAAAGAUGAAAAGAACUUUGGAAAGAGAGUUAAACAGUACGUGAAAUUGCUGAAAGGGAAACGCUUGAAGUCAGUCGCGUUGGCCGGGGAUCAGCCUUGCUUUUGCAUGGUGUAUUUUCUGGUUGACGGGUCAGCAUCAAUUUUGACCGCUGGAAAAAGACCUGGGGAAUGUGGCAGCUUCGGCUGUGUUAUAGCCCCUAGUCGCAUACAGUGGUUGGGAUUGAGGAACUCAGCACGCCGCAAGGCCGGGUUUCGACCACGUUCGUGCUUAGGAUGCUGGCAUA
rnacentral:rRNA from 1 species